GAAUUCCAAAUAAUGAAAAUCUGGUGAAGCACGAGGUUUUAACUGAAGAUUUGAAGUCCAUAUAAUUAUCCAACAAUUGUUUGUCCGAACAGAUCUGAGAUACCACUUAAGGUAAAUCGAUUUGAACAUUUCGAUAAUUAAUUGAUUAGUCCAGCAGAUGGCAUGAAGAUAAGCAUUCGAUACCCAAAGCCAAGAACAGUGGUGCUGAUGGGCCAUUCCUUCAUUAGGAGGUUCGGUGUAUUUAUGAACAAUGUGCAACAUUAUAAUAUUUACGUCUUCAGAAAGAUAGUUUUGAAGUGAUAAUUCGUGCUAGGGGCGAUCUCAGGACCUACGAGCUGGCUAUUUCCUGGGAACUUCUUGACUUUCAAAAUAUUCACACCGAGGGCGGUAUUUGUGAUUGGGGGAAAUGACUUAGCAGGUGCACAGGCAACACCACACGAUGUUGCUCUUCAAAUCAUGGCUCUGGCACACUUUUUACUGUUAACCAAUAACUUCUCUUAUGUAAUUAUUGGACAAUUGCUACGUAGAUAUCCAUCAAAAGUAGACAAUCAGUAUAAUACCAAUAAACUUUUUCAUGACCAGUGUCACUCUUCAAACAGUAAUCUCUUAUUUUGGCACAACCGUGGCUUCUGGGACCCAGACAUGAAAUACAUGGAGCGUGACUGGGUCCACAUAAAAGACAGCAACCAUGGCCAUCGGUUUAUGAGCAAGUACUUGCAAAGUGUUAAAAGUGCUGUCCUCCAUACCUCCCAUUUGGCGAGACGGGCAAAGAAUCAGGACUAGAUAAAAUAAGAUGCCACAAAAGAAAAGGGAAAAUCCAAAUCCAAACUCAUAAGGAAAGAAGAGGCUACACACUCAAAAAGCUCCUUCUGUGGCGUCUUCCCCUUGUGAUGUUGUUGAUGACGUCUUCCCCUUGUGAUGUUGUUGAUGACGUCUUCCCCUUGUGAUGUUGUUGAUGCCAAUUCAUCAUUACCUCCAGUAAGCUGUUCCAGCAACCCUUCAAUCGAUUACGAUCAGCUGGCAGCAGCAAUUUCGAGGCUUUGAAAUCCAGUAGUAAUUCUGUUUAUAUGAAUAUCCCUACACAGGCUCCUAGCACUUCUUCCGGAGACUGAAAUAAUUCUAAUUUUGUCAACACACUUCAACAGUCGUUUCCAUGUGAGUCGGUGGCAGAUGCUUGUGAUAGUAACACCUCACAUGUUGUUCCAUGUUCCAUUGUCAGUGGCAAAUGGCAUUCCUCUUGGUGCGGGUGUUCCAGUGCGUAUUAAAAACAAAAUCUGUAACGAUCAAUUUAUUGAUCUUAAGUGUUUACUACCCAAUUCUUGUUUUCUUACAAUGGUACAAGCAACAAGAACAAGCUUCGCAAAAGGCAUGUAGCUUUACUAUCAAGGUGUAAGCUUUGUUUAAUGAAAAAGUUGUGAAUAUAAAUAUCAUUAUCUUAAAGGUAAAACGGUAUCAAUUUUGAUGCGCAAUUUCGACAAAUAAUGUCUCUUCAGUGAUGCUCAAGCUGAAACUUUGGAAAUCCAAAAUAGCAUUAAAUUUGUAAGAACUAAAAGGAAAAACAGAGUGUCAAAGGCAGGAGUCAAAUUCGUCUAAAGAUCAGAACUAUACAUGAAUGAGAUAACCCUUAAUUUUGAAAUGAAUUUCUCAAUCCUAUCACAGCAAUUAGAUAUACAUCUGUAUUUUCAAGCUGAUAACGAAAUCCUUAGUUACUGGACUGUAGAUACCCUAGGGGACUAACAGUCCACCAGUUGAGGCCUCGACCCAGGGGUCGUAAUGUUAAACUUAUACGGUGCCAAUUUUGAUGCACCAGAGGCGCAUUUCGACAAAUAAUGUUUCUUCAGUGAUGCUCAAGCCAAAAUUUUGGAAACCCGAAAUAACAAUAAACUUGUAAGAACUAAAAGGAAAAGGUCUGUUAUAAUACAAGCGUUUCUGUGCAUGCUGACUUUUUACAUUUGUUGCCCUACGAUAUCGAUAAACAAUUAUAAUGUCGAAUCAAUCAUGGUAUUAUGUGUAAACAAAAUAUGAUGUCUUUCAAAAACUGUUUAGAUUGUACUACUACUCGGAGAAAGACAUGGAACGUAGCUCUUAGAAAUGCCUGUCAUUUGAAAAUGAAGGCAUAAAGUGGUCAUCAAUACCGAGCGAAUCUCGGAUUGGCUGAAGGAUCUUAAGGUAACACGUAUGUAAAAGAAAAAAAAUGACAAAGAUGAGCAAAUGAAGAGAUAAUCUCUACAUACGUUCAAUGAAAAUUUUGUAAUCCAUAUAGGCGACGCCAUUUUGCUUUGUUCAUUAGUUCCUUCUACUGUUUUUCGUGUUUUAAUAUUCAAUGCCAAAAAUACAAGACUGACGUGCAAUUUGUAAUUCAUACACUCCAUUUGUUAAAAAUGAAUUGUAAAAUGAUUAUAGUUACAGUUUUUAGCCAAUCAUCAAAUAGAAAACAGUAAUACAACUAAAUAGAUCAACGAGUUUAUGAAUUUCUUUGAAUAAAAAAUAUACGAAAUA